rnacentral:rRNA from 1 species
GCGCUCCGAUGCUCUAGAUUACGCGAAGACCUUACCUAGGCUUGACAGUUGGGGAAAUCUGGCAGAGAUGCCAGGUCCGUAAGGGCCCCAAAACAGGUGGUGCAUGGCUGUCGUCAGCUCGUGUCGUGAGAUGUUGGGUUAAGUCCCGCAACGAGCGCAACCCUCGUCGUAUGUUGCCAGCGGAUAAUGCCGGGGACUCAUACGAGACUGCCGGGGUCAACUCGGAGGAAGGUGGGGACGACGUCAAGUCAUCAUGCCCCUUAUGUCUAGGGCUGCACGCAUGCUACAAUGGCCGGUACAAAGGGCUGCGAUACCGCGAGGUGGAGCGAAUCCCAUAAAGCCGGUCUCAGUUCGGAUUGGGGUCUGCAACUCGACCCCAUGAAGUCGGAGUCGCUAGUAAUCGCAGAUCAGCAACGCUGCGGUGAAUACGUUCCCGGGUCUUGUA